CUUAGAUGAACAAUUUUCUAAUACGUUAAUUCAAUGAUACAAAUUUCCCUGUAAGUGCUGCUUUCACGGCAUCACAGAAAUCUUGAUAAAUUAUUUUCAUUUUCAUUAGUUCAAAAUACUUUUAAAUUUCUCUUGAGAUUUCUUCUUUGACUCAUGAUUUUUAUUAUUAAGGAAUGUUUUGUUUAAUCUCUCAUCUGAGGAUUCUCCAGCUAUCUUUCUAUAAGUGGUUCUUAGCUUGUUUUCAUUGUGAUCAGAGCACAACUAUUCUUUUUAAUUUGUUAACAUGUAUUUUAUGGCCCAGAAUGUGGCCAUAAGAUAAGAAAGGGAGUUUUGACCCAGAAUAUGUCACCAGGAUAACUUGAUGAAUGUUCCACGUGAUCUUGAGAAGAAUGUGUGUCUGCUGCUGUUGGAUGAAGAACUCUACAGAUAUCUAUUCUCUCCAGUUGGUUGAUGAUGUUUUCAAGUUCUACUAUGUCCUUACUUAUUUUUCUGUCUGCUGGAUCUGUCUGUUUCUGACAGAAUGAUAUUAAAGUGUCCAACUAUAAUAGUGGAUUUAUGGGUUUCUCCUUUCAGUUUUAUAAGUUUUUGCCUCAUAUUUUGAUGCCCUGUUGUUAGGCAUAUACACAUUAAGGAUUGUUCUGUCUUCUUGAAAAGUUGAUCUCUUUAUCAUUAUAUAAUGUCUUUCUUUAUCCC
rnacentral:lncRNA from 1 species